CGACAAAUUUUUAAAGCGAACGUACCUUAUUUUGCAUGUGCAUUAUGAACGUGAUAUAGGUUUGCUGUAUAACCGGAGGUUCAACGUGAAAUUUCAGUGUUCUUCCCUUACCGGAACUGAUCUCCACCUCGACAAACUAGAUGUUGUGAAGUCGGCAAGAGAUACAUGUAGAAACCAGACGUACUGUUACAGUAUUCCACGCCACUAGGUGAAAUCCAUCACUUCGAAUUGCUUGAUUGCCGUACAACGCUUCGCAUGUGACGAGACCAAUCCACGGAAUAAAAUCCUCUUCAGAAGCAAAACUAACCUCCUAAACGAAAAUGGAAACUAGAAAACUUCAGUUCUCGUUUGUCUCAGCAGGUGUACGUGUGCUCGAACCUGGGGGAAGUUUCCUACGUAACCUCCGUUUCGAAUCCAUCUAAUUUUAAUAGCUGGUGUAUGAGCGUCAUCAGUUGUCUUAACCUCACAUUUCAACUUAAGCGAGGUAAUUUUGGAUGGGGAGACAUUGAUGAAUCCGUUUCGAUUCUGUCCUACAGGUCCCCAGUCAAUGUCGGCGCCUUCAGUCAUUGCCGAAACAGAUAAUAUUUGCCCUUUUGGUGUGAAAACUAUACAGGAUGGGGUAAAGCACAAGAUAUUUUGGUUAAAGAAACAAGCAUAGCAGAGUUGUUAAAAUAUUUAACCUCUUAAUUCAUGGGUGGAACGAUAAUUGGAAACACACAUACAGCCUAAGGUCUGCUGGCUGUCUUUCAGAGAAAGGCCUGAAGUUUUUAGCUGAUCAAUCCUAUCACCUCCAGUAUGGUAACAAUACAUUUGGUUCUUAAUAAGGUCAGGUGCCAUCAAGUCAGGCAAAAACUUUUCAAGAAUCAGGAUAUUUCUUUCUUCGUCUGUGCCACAAUUGGAAACAUAGAUUAAUCAUUUUGUUUAAAAAUAAAUGUAUUAACCUUUAUGUUUACAUGAGUCGGGGCUGCCUAACCAUUGCAGGCGCCCAUUGCUGAAACACAAGCUUGUCCAGAAGGAAUUUUCUUUGAUCCAUGAUUGACCAAAGGCUUCCUAAAGGAAGUUUGAUAACCAGAUUUAAUAUUUUAAUGAACAACGUCCAAUGAUAUUAUCGUGGGCAAUACUCUGCAAUUGUAUGCUACAGAGUCACAGACAUAGAUACACCGUUGAAAAGUCACCAGAAACUAUGGUAGUCUCUUGCAGUCUUAAGUUUAAGUUUAAGUUUAUUAGGCACCCGGCUGCUUCUGCAGCCCUCUUGCAGUCUUGCUGUUCGGAAUAAAGCAGACAAAAUAUAGUGCUGGCACAUGGACUACUUUAUAUUAAGGACUGGACACUUCGAUGAUUCCUAUGUCUCCCAUAGAACGGGUAGAAAGUCGACUUGACUCAUUCGCCAUCUACCUGCCAAACGGCCUAAGCUCCUGCUACUUGGCGUCGGCAAGCGGCAAGAUUUGAAAUCAGCUUUUCUUUGUUUUGUGUAUGAUCAGCUCAUUAGCAUAAUUUUCGACUUUUGGCUUAAAUAAAGAUAAAAACUACCUGUU